CGUGUCGCCCGCCGAGUGAUCAAUCGCUGAGAGAACAUCGUUGGCACAGGUUUUAUUGAGUGUGGAUCAGCGAGGCAAUUUUUCGGGGAUGAGAUUUGAAAAUCGAGACAAACAUCCCGAAAAAGAGAAAGGAAGAAUUUCGUAUGUCUGACGAACAACACCUAGAUCUAAGCUUUCGAAGGAGAACACGAUCGUCUCGUGAUCGGUGACGCCGUUGUCGUCUACCUGCCGCGGCGAGCAACGAGAGAACAACGUGCGAACAGGUCGCGCCGGCGUCUCGAAGAUUACAAAUGUGGCGUUGACCCUGGUCGUUUCAGGGUCACGUGAGCGCUCCAAAUUAUAUGGAGCGAGUCGACGGAUGGCCAGAGCACGCCGUGGACGUGAUGGCCCGAUCGUGGCUAGGUCAUCAGCCGCUUACCGAUAUCGGUGUGCGCACACGAGCGGAUCGAGCGUCGUCGCCUCGACUUUAAACCGCAAUCUACACCAACACAUAGCGGAUAUCGAUGGUUGGUCGACGAUAACCGCGCAAGAUACGUUCGCCGAUGAUGACGAUGAUGAAAGGUGUCCACGACGCGUGCUUUCCACAUCUAGAUCACGGAACCUUUGCCCUCGAUUAACCCGUACGUGGUCUUUCGAACACUCGCGAACGUUCCUCUGAUUUAUUCCAACUGCUGUCUUCCUGACAUUUUCGUGCUCCGUACUGGUGAUUCAUCGUGCAAUUUUAUUGGAUAAUCGAAACCAAACCGAUCAACUUCGCUUUUUGUGAGCGAGAUUUUCAUUUAUAAAAAUAUACAGGAAUUGUCUGUAUAUCCUUACAACGAAUAUAUACAGUCCGAAUACACCUACAUGUUCGAUAUUUCAAGAAAAUUGAAGAAUUUACAAGCGCAUCUUCGA